rnacentral:rRNA from 1 species
GUCCGCACCAUAAACGAUGGAUACUAGAUGUUUGGAGAAUUAACCCUCUGAGUAUCAAAGUUCACACAUUAAGUAUCCCGCCUGGGGAGUACGGCCGCAAGGCUGAAACUCAAAGGAAUUGACGGGGGCCCGCACAAGCGGUGGAGUAUGUGGUUUAAUUCGAAGCAACGCGCAGAACCUUACCUGGGUUUGACAUCCUACGCAUACUGCAGAGAUGUAGUAGUCCCGCAAGGGACGUAGAGACAGGUGCUGCAUGGCUGUCGU